rnacentral:lncRNA from 1 species
UCAAUCCUCCUGAUAGCUGCAGUCGUGAUGGAGUGGUAAAUCCAUUAUUAAUUCUCAAUAUUCAGUCUACUUUCCUCUGUAUUAAUAACGGAGUUAAAAAAAAUACAUCAUAGGAGAACACGUUUCACAAAUGCCAUCAUUUUCUUGUACAGAAAGGCCGGUUGGAACAUGGGGCUGGAGAAGCACGGCCCCCCCAUCUUGUGCUUGGUAGGCUCCUCUUGGCAUUUUGCGCUGACGUGAAAGGAUAUGUCUUUCCUGCUGACUUCAGCAAGAGGUUAGUCCCUGACGGACAAGUCCUCCAGGGCUCUACUUACACACCUCCUGGGACAGAGCAGAAGUUGGGAAUACAGUUCUCACCCUGCAUUGGCCUCUGUCUCCUUCUUUCAUGGGAAAUGCUCAUAUAAUCAACACAUUAUUAUUUUUUUAAUUGCAAAGUGAUUUUGUAGAGCAUCUUUACAAUUUCCAGUGCACCUUAUUAAUCUGGGAGCAGACAUGCAUGUUGGAGAACCUUGUGCAGAGAUACUCUCACAUCCACUUACCACCUCUUGGAAAUAUAGACAGUAAGUCUCACAAUGCUAUAAUUGCAUGCUGCCUGGAAUUGAAGUGACCUGCUGUUGUGCUCUUUUUGAAUGGUUUCUCCUCAAGUUACAUCAAGCCUGUAAACAAGGCACAGUAUCUUACAGACAAAUGCUCUGGCUAUCUUAAAAAUGAUAUGAGCAACAAAAAUGUUGAUCUGUUUCUUUUAAUAAUGGGAUUGUGCUGAUUAUUCACUUUACCAAUCAUCUUGAAGGCUUGUUCUUAAAAUAACAAUACUUCUCUUCCUUAUUUCUUAACAUUGCAGCAUUAUUCAAGGUUUUAUAAUAUCUCUCACUGCUGCUGUCUUACAGUGUUCAUAUGAUUUUGCCCACAAUACAGAGAAUGGGGGACCUGGAAUGAAAAUGUAAUUAAAUCAUAUGCAAAUAAAGAAAUGCUUUGGCUGACUUCA